rnacentral:rRNA from 1 species
CUUAAGAGUUUGAUCCUGGCUCAGGAUGAACGCUGGCGGCGUGCUUAACACAUGCAAGUCGAACGGUGAACACGGAGCUUGCUCUGUGGGAUCAGUGGCGAACGGGUGAGUAACACGUGAGCAACCUGCCCCUGACUCUGGGAUAAGCGCUGGAAACGGCGUCUAAUACUGGAUACGAACCACGAAGGCAUCUUCAGUGGUUGGAAAGAUUUAUUGGUUGGGGAUGGGCUCGCGGCCUAUCAGCUUGUUGGUGAGGUAAUGGCUCACCAAGGCGUCGACGGGUAGCCGGCCUGAGAGGGUGACCGGCCACACUGGGACUGAGACACGGCCCAGACUCCUACGGGAGGCAGCAGUGGGGAAUAUUGCACAAUGGGCGCAAGCCUGAUGCAGCAACGCCGCGUGAGGGAUGACGGCCUUCGGGUUGUAAACCUCUUUUAGCAGGGAAGAAGCGAAAGUGACGGUACCUGCAGAAAAAGCGCCGGCUAACUACGUGCCAGCAGCCGCGGUAAUACGUAGGGCGCAAGCGUUAUCCGGAAUUAUUGGGCGUAAAGAGCUCGUAGGCGGUUUGUCGCGUCUGCUGUGAAAUCCGGAGGCUCAACCUCCGGCCUGCAGUGGGUACGGGCAGACUAGAGUGCGGUAGGGGAGAUUGGAAUUCCUGGUGUAGCGGUGGAAUGCGCAGAUAUCAGGAGGAACACCGAUGGCGAAGGCAGAUCUCUGGGCCGUAACUGACGCUGAGGAGCGAAAGGGUGGGGAGCAAACAGGCUUAGAUACCCUGGUAGUCCACCCCGUAAACGUUGGGAACUAGUUGUGGGGUCCAUUCCACGGAUUCCGUGACGCAGCUAACGCAUUAAGUUCCCCGCCUGGGGAGUACGGCCGCAAGGCUAAAACUCAAAGGAAUUGACGGGGACCCGCACAAGCGGCGGAGCAUGCGGGAUUAAUUUCGAUGCAACGCGAAGAACCCUUACCA